rnacentral:misc_RNA from 1 species
GAUGAAGAACGCAGCGAAAUGCGAUAAGUAGUGUGAAUUGCAGAAUUCAGUGAAUCAUCGAAUCUUUGAACGCACCUUGCGCUACUUGGUAUUCCGAGGAGCAUGCCUGUUUGAGUGUCAUGAAAUUCUCAACCUUUCUGGCUUUUGCUAGUCAGGCUUGGAUUAUGGGAGCUGCUGGCUUUUGAAGUCGGCUCUUCUAAAAUGUAUUAGCAAGAUCAUUGCUGCUCAUCAUUGGUAUGAUAAUUAUCUAUAUCAUUGAGAGUCAGUUUCCUUUAUUGGAAGAUUUUGCUCCUAACGGUCUUUAGCAAGACAACAUUUGACGAUUUUGACCUCAAAUCAGGUAGGACUACCCGCUGAACUUAAGCAUAUCAAUAAGCGGAGGA